rnacentral:rRNA from 1 species
AUUGAACGCUGGCGGCAGGCCUAACACAUGCAAGUCGAGCGGUAGAGAGAAGCUUGCUUCUCUUGAGAGCGGCGGACGGGCGAGUAAUGCCUAGGAAUCUGCCUGGUAGUGGGGGAUAACGUUCGGAAACGGACGCUAAUACCGCAUACGUCCUACGGGAGAAAGCAGGGGACCUUCGGGCCUUGCGCUAUCAGAUGAGCCUAGGUCGGAUUAGCUAGUUGGUGAGGUAAUGGCUCACCAAGGCGACGAUCCGUAACUGGUCUGAGAGGAUGAUCAGUCACACUGGAACUGAGACACGGUCCAGACUCCUACGGGAGGCAGCAGUGGGGAAUAUUGGACAAUGGGCGAAAGCCUGAUCCAGCCAUGCCGCGUGUGUGAAGAAGGUCUUCGGAUUGUAAAGCACUUUAAGUUGGGAGGAAGGGUUGUAGAUUAAUACUCUGCAAUUUUGACGUUACCGACAGAAUAAGCACCGGCUAACUCUGUGCCAGCAGCCGCGGUAAUACAGAGGGUGCAAGCGUUAAUCGGAAUUACUGGGCGUAAAGCGCGCGUAGGUGGUUUGUUAAGUUGGAUGUGAAAUCCCCGGGCUCAACCUGGGAACUGCAUUCAAAACUGACUGACUAGAGUAUGGUAGAGGGUGGUGGAAUUUCCUGUGUAGCGGUGAAAUGCGUAGAUAUAGGAAGGAACACCAGUGGCGAAGGCGACCACCUGGACUAAUACUGACACUGAGGUGCGAAAGCGUGGGGAGCAAACACGAGUAGAUACCCUUGUAGUCCAAGGCGAAUUCCACAGUGGAUAUCAAGCUUAUCGAUACACGUCGAGCGGCGGGUGUCGUUCCCUGUUACCA